UCGGCCUUCCAGAGUGUUAGGAUUACAGGCAUAAGCCACCGUGCCCGGCCAAGUCUGUGUAGCUGUUUUCUUAGGCCAUGUAGCUCACUCUUUUCUUAGGCAGUGUAGUUCACUUUCCCACAGCAAGCUUUGGGAAGAGAAGCUCUGUGCCACAGGCUCCAUUCCUGUUUGUCACAUCACAAAUACCAAUCAUUGCUUUAAGGAGUGGAUGAUUUGAUGAGAAUAUUCAGUUCUUACACCACUACUAGAAGAGGAACACUGACUGCCUUGUUGUGGAAGUGGUCUGGCAGUUUCUGUAGGUAGGAGGGGUGGAUUGUCUACAAAUGUGGCCACCGACAGUGCCUCCAAUUCCUGUGUGUACAUGCUGCUUCUCCCACUAGAAGGUGUCUUUUACUUUCCUUCUCUUUGAAUCUGGAACUUGCUUUGACCAGUUGGACCUAGCAGAAGUGGGGCCCUGUGACUUGCAGGCCUUAUGAAAUCUCGUAGCUUUGUUUUUCCCUUUGAGAGCCAGCUGUGUUAUAAAGAAGUUUGUGCUGCGUGAGAGAGAUACCACCUGAAGACAACAAGGCCCUGGAGGAUGAGAGACUCUCAAGGAAAAGAGAAGGGCCUGCCGUCUUCCAGCCACGCCAGCCCCCAACUGAGGAGCUAGACGGGGUCUUGCCAUAUUGCUGAGGCUGGUCUCUAACUUCUGGGCUCAAGCCAUCCUCCUUCCUCAGCCUCCCAAAGUGUUGGGAUUACAGUGCCCUUGGUGUGGUGGAAGCAAGGUGUCAUGUGGUAAGUAAGCCUCCAGAGAGGCCUGCAUGGCAGGAUCCAAUGUCUCUAGCCAACAGCCUCUGGGGACCUGAGACCUGCCAACACUCUUGUUAGUGAACCUGGAAGUGGACCUCCUGCUCUUGGACCUUGAGGUGACCAUAGUACUGGCUGACACCUUGACUGCAGUCCCUGAGCUGGGGUGCCCAACUGAGCUACUCUCAGAAUCCCCCCUACUGAAACAGUGAUAUAAUAAAUGCUUAUUGUUUCAAGCUGGUAAAUUUUGG
rnacentral:lncRNA from 1 species